GACGAACGCUGGCGGCGUGCUUAACACAUGCAAGUCGAGCGAUGAAGCACCUUCGGGUGUGAAUUAGCGGCGAACGGGUGAGGAACACGUGAGAAAUCUGCCUUCAACACUGGGAUAACUCCGGGAAACCGGGGCUAAUACCGGAUAUGAAACCUGCGGGCAUCCGCGGGUUUGGAAAGUUUUUCGGUUGAAGAUGAUCUCGCGGCCUAUCAGCUUGUUGGGGAGGUAAUGGCUAGCCAAGGCGACGACGGGUGGCCGGCCUGAGAGGGCGACCGGCCACACUGGGACUGAGACACGGCCCAGACUCCUACGGGAGGCAGCAGUGGGGAAUAUUGGGCAAUGGAGGAAACUCUGACCCAGCGACGCCGCGUGCGGGAUGAAGGCCUUCGGGUUGUAAACCGCUUUCAGCAGGGAAGAAGCGAAAGUGACGGUACCUGCAGAAGAAGCACCGGCUAACUAUGUGCCAGCAGCCGCGGUAA
rnacentral:rRNA from 1 species